rnacentral:ncRNA from 1 species
GUCUUCGAGGCGGGGCGUAAUUCCCCACCGGCGGUACAGCCCGCAAGCGGCAGUUAUGUCGCACGAAUCGGUGAAAUUCCGAUGCCGACGGUCACAGUCCGGAUGAGAGAAGAUG